rnacentral:rRNA from 1 species
CCUACGGGAGGCAGCAGUGAGGAAUAUUGGUCAAUGAGCGCAAGCCUGAACCAGCCAAAUCGCGUGAGGGAUGACGGUCCUAUGGAUUGUAAACCUCUUUUGUCGGGGAGCAAGGCCCGCCACGUGUGGCGGGAAGGAGAGUACCCGAAGAAAAAGCAUCGGCUAACUCCGUGCCAGCAGCCGCGGUAAUACGGAGGAUGCGAGCGUUAUCCGGAUUUAUUGGGUUUAAAGGGUGCGUAGGCGGAAGGUUAAGUCAGCGGUAAAAUGUCGGUGCUCAACACCGGCCUGCCGUUGAAACUGGUCUUCUUGAGUGAGCGAGAAGUAUGCGGAAUGCGUGGUGUAGCGGUGAAAUGCAUAGAUAUCACGCAGAACUCCGAUUGCGAAGGCAGCAUACCGGCGCUCAACUGACGCUGAGGCACGAAAGCGUGGGGAUCGAACAGGAUUAGAUACCCGGGUAGUC